AUGAAGCUACUGGCCUGGAACUGUCGGGGCCUUGCAAACGCCCCAGCAGUGCGUGCUUUGUUGGAUGUUCAGCGUUAUUGGGCUCCUGAUGUGAUGUUUUUGUCAGAGACUCAUUUAGACAGCUAUCCGACAAAGUGUUGAAGGAAGAGAUUGAAGAUGGAUCAAAAGCUUGCGUGCCCUAGUGAUGGAAGAAAAGGAGGACUGUUGAUG
rnacentral:rRNA from 1 species